rnacentral:rRNA from 1 species
GCUUACGGCCAUACCAGCCUGGA